GAUGAACGCUGGCGGCGUGCUUAACACAUGCAAGUCGAACGAUGAAGCCCAGCUUGCUGGGUGGAUUAGUGGCGAACGGGUGAGUAACACGUGAGUAACCUGCCCUUAACUCUGGGAUAAGCCUGGGAAACUGGGUCUAAUACCGGAUAGGAGCGCCUACUGCAUGGUGGGUGUUGGAAAGAUUUAUCGGUUUUGGAUGGACUCGCGGCCUAUCAGCUUGUUGGUGAGGUAAUGGCUCACCAAGGCGACGACGGGUAGCCGGCCUGAGAGGGUGACCGGCCACACUGGGACUGAGACACGGCCCAGACUCCUACGGGAGGCAGCAGUGGGGAAUAUUGCACAAUGGGCGAAAGCCUGAUGCAGCGACGCCGCGUGAGGGAUGACGGCCUUCGGGUUGUAAACCUCUUUCAGCAGGGAAGAAGCGAAAGUGACGGUACCUGCAGAAGAAGCACCGGCUAACUACGUG
rnacentral:rRNA from 1 species